GAGCUGCUGCGCCCUCUACAGUCUGACUGGUUCUGAUCCGUUCUCCUGCAGGUCUGCAGCUCUCAGUGUGGAUCCUCCUCUGCUGUGUUCCAGUCCAGAACAAAGUUGGUGGUGGACGAUGGGACGGCUGAGGCUCAGGUCUGGUUGUCAGGGAAACAGGUCCAGAGUCUGCUGGGAUUGGCUGAUCCUCAGUGGGAGGGGCUUCAGAGAGCGGUCAGGGUCAGAGGUCACAUCAGUGUGACUCCUAGGGGGCGGAGCCUGGGGACUGAUGGAGACUCUGAGGACGUCCUCCUCCACUUCCUGUUGUCCCUCUGCAGCAGUGAUGUCAUCAGGCAGCAGGUCUCCCUCACCUGCAGGAAACUAACCAAUCAGAGCUCAGAAGAGGUCAGAAGAUUCAACAGAGGAGACAGAGACUUCCUGACCAAGAUGCCCCGCCCCCUGCAGCUCACCUGUACUCACCUGGACCCCCCAUGAAGAAUCA